ACCUCCACGUGGUACUGACACUACCUCCACGUGGUACUGACACUACCUCCACGUGGUACUGACACUACCUCCACGUGGUACUGACACUACCUCCACGUGGUACUGACACUACCUCCACGUGGUACUGACACUACCUCCACGUGGUACUGACAUUACCUCCACGUGGUACUGACACUACCUCCACGUGGUACUGACACUACCUCCACGUGGUACUGACAUUACCUCCACGUGGUACUGACACUACCUCCAUGUGGUACUGACAUUACCUCCACGUGGUACUGUUGAAGCCAGUGUUGUGGGAAUGGCUUGAUCGAAGCUAAACUUGUCAUUAAUCCUCUUGGCACCCACUCUUGAGAAACAAGUUAACAUGUGAUUGUGGGAAAGGAGAGCCUCAACAAGUUACUGGCAGCACAUCUAAUGUGGCAGCCCACUCUGAUUCUUUGUUGUGUGUCUACCUGAUAGGAAUUAACCACACCUUUCAUGCUAAACCGCAUGUGUUCAUUAGGCAAAGAGUCUUAGUUGCUUUCAUGUCUUUGUUUGGUGGCUUUCUGAGGUAAAAAUAUGUGUCAUCACGGCAUCUUUUAUUUUCUAUAUUUAACCCACUGUGCCUUGUAUCUCGAACAGCCUAUUCAAAUUCAACUUUUGUACGGCCCUUUUUGGGAUGGGCAGCACCAAAUUCUUCUUUAUCCAUUUCAUACAGGUAUAAUUAUCUUGUUUUGAUAAAGUUGCAUCCAGCCAAGCACAAAAAGUUAAGAUGAAGAAUUUGACUGCUUUUUGCUCAGGUCACAGUCGGGUAGUUCAGGUCACAGUCGGGUAGUUCAGGUCACAGUAGGGUAGUUCAGGUCACAUCCAGCAGGUGUUCCUCAUUUUCAAUCAAAACGAACCCAUGAGUCAUGUUGUGAAAGUUUUAUGAUAUUUGCCUGAAUACUCCAAUGAUAUAAUUCAUAGAUUAUAGAUCCAAUUGGUUAUUGAUUAUUUCUGGCUCGGAUUCUCUGUCUCCCCAGGCCCUUUUAUUCCCAAUAUUGUUGAUUGGUGGGGAUGUUUACCUAGAGUGGGUUCUAAUCAAUAUUAGAGACGACUGCAUGAUUGACUCAAAAAGUUGGUUCUGGCUAUUGUAUUUUGUUGAUUUUUUGUCCCUCGUCAUUGUGCUGGUACUGUGAUAACCUUUGGUACAUAUGCAUUAGUACUGCCAAUUCAACAGUUGGGUCUUUCACCAUUUGGUAAUAAUCAGAUAUAGCAUAAAAACUUGUUGUGUUACAUGAAUCUCGCCUUUAAAAAAUAGAUUAAUGCUAUUAAUUUGAUAACAAAUGAUGAACAUAUUUGAUAUUGACGGAGAGUGGUGGUCCUUUGGUGUAUUGAUCUCUCGGUGAUGGUUGGGAAUAAUAGACAUUGGUGUUUAAUUGAGAGGUUGAAAUGUCAGAGGUCAAUUCAUAAUUCCAUCCAAGUUCAAUGGCUCAGAGAUACUGAUCUGGUUUUGUUUUGUUAGCAGGCUUGAUUGGUGUUGGGUGGGACAUUUAGGACUUUAUGAUCUAGACUUUGUUAAUACAGUCGCUUUUAUUCUUCCAAAUUGUGGUUGCUUAUUUUCUCUUUAAGUUAUUGAUCAUGUCCAUCAAUGAAGUGGUUUCCAUGUACCUUAUACAUUUUAGGUUCAUUAUUCCCUGAUUUGUUUUUCUAUUGGCUAAAUCAUACUCAUUUAUUCUCAGUUAAGGAGUUAAUCUGCGCUGACUCAAGAAACAGUGUAAGUGAACAUGUUGCAUUCUUGCCCCGGGAUGGGGAUUACGUUGCUUUGAUGUCUUGGUGAAUUAAUUGACGUUCUUCGUAGCAAGAAACACAAUACUUGUAUCUUCUUUAAAAGUAGUUAGCACUGUUUACAUGAAUGCUACUGAUUUCAGGGUACCUUGAGCAUUAAAUGACAUCCAUUCUUCUACAAUACUACAUGCUCUUGUGGUCUCGUUGGCUGAGAACCCAACUUGGACUGAUGUGUGGAAUCAGGAGCCCACUGUUGACUGCCACUUUAAUGUACUGGCUCUGCCAUGCAUAUGAUGCAGUCACCUCUACACUAACAAAGUCUUUUGAUCACCUUUGGUGAGGAUGUGGCAUUCAAUUUUCUUAAUUUUCUCUGUUUCAUUGAAUUCCUGUGCUGUUUCAGGUUUACAAUGCAAGCACUUUGGGACAAGCUUCCAAUAAUAUUGCCUGUAAAUAGUAGUUUCCAAUACUAUAUUGCCUGUAAAUGACAGCUUCCAAUACUAUAUAUUGCCUGUAAGUGGUAGUUUCCAAUACUAUAACCUGUUAAUGACAUCUUCCAAUACUACUGCCUGUAAGUGGUAGUUUCCAAUACUAUUGCCCGUAAAUGGUAGUUUCCAAUACUAUUGCCUGUAAUUGACAGCACUAUGGGACAAGCUUCCUGUACUAUUGCCUCCAACAACUAAUGUACUCGAUUUAAUCCGAGGGUUUUUUGAUGGAAAAUGUUCGGUCUAUUACUUAUGUCUGGACCGAGUGUGGCUUGAAAUGGUUAGAAUCUUAUCCAGUAUACAUGUUUGGAAGAAAGCUGGUAUUAUGUAUAUAGAAUAGUUCCCCAAUUCUGAUAUAAAUUCUUUGAUGGACCGUCAAAAAGUUUGCACCGGUAUCUGAUUCCAUUAUAGAAUCAGUGAUGAUCGAGCCUAUGGUAGACACGACCAUGUCUAGUCAUACUUUGGCCUCUGUACCAAUCGUCGAGACUUCCCAGCGUUAACUCUUCCUUAACAGUGUUGGUAUGUGUAGUUCCUCUGUUAAAAGUAGAUGGCACCACUUGUUGGUAUCGUGAUGAUGCACCACAUGUGUCUGCCUAUGUAUGAAGUUUUAUAUUCUGAGGAACAGUGUUAUAUGUUUAGUUUCUGGAUUAAUAUAAUAAUAGGGGUCAGCAGCAUGCAGACCUGUCAUGUUUCCAUGUUUGAAUGUGAUGCUUGAAGACUCACUGCAAGUAACUCAAUAAAUGUCUCAACCCGCGUAACUUUCUGUGAUGGAAUGUUUCCUCUUGUAGAUACUCUGUUCUCAUUGAAUGAUUGAAUAAUGAAAGGGUCAUAAUGACCCUUUGGUAAACAUAGUGAACACAGUGAUUUGCUGACACUGUCCGAAUCCCCAAAUUGAAUAUUUCCAGAUUUGGUUUUGUAUCGAGUUACAAAGUCUGGAAAGAUUGUUUAAAAUUGCCAACCAAGGUGUUGGUUGAUAGUCCUUAAAGGGGUACGUACCGGCCCCUGCAUUAUGACCUUCUCAUUGAGGUUAUAAAGACGUUGAUGUACUUAUAAAUUGCUGUUCAUAUGUAUAAAUAUUGUUUAUAUUUUUUACAUCCAAGAAAAGGAUCACAACUGUCUUUAAUGAUUGGUGUUUGAAGUACAUGUACAUUUACAGGAUAUCGAAAAAUAAAUCUCAAAUAUGAAAA